rnacentral:lncRNA from 1 species
CAAAUAUUUCAGUCAUGUAGGCCGAAAUCUCGAAUUUUCACUACAACUGAAUUAGAUUAUAAGAACAUAUUUUUGAAACACUUUUAUAUAAGUGUUCUAUUUAUGCCAAAAAAAAUUUAAAAAAUCUAAAUAUAAAACCCAAUCCACUCAAAAAAAAAAAAAAAAUUUCUCUACUCAGCCAAUCACACCUAGUCUACUCGGCCCGAGUACAAAUUAAAAAAAAAAAAUUAAUCACCACCUCCCCUUCUCCUCUGCUGUCGCAGCCGACGAAAUAGGGUUUCGACGGCUGGAGUUCGGCCGCGAGUAUCUCGCAGGGACCGUAAAAGGCUACGAUUGCGACGUAUUCCUCCGCCACAUAUCGCUGGAGCAGUGGGUGCCAAAUAUCAAGAUGGUCCUAUCUAUAGCGAUUCCACAUAUAGCAAUAUUUUUAAAAAGUGCUGGUAAUUUAGUUAGCAAUAUAUUUUUUUUAACUUGUACCGAUUUUUAAAACUGUCGCUAUGCAUUAUUUUUGUUGUAGUGUUUAAAAGUUCAGU